UACGUAGGGUGCGAGCGUUAAUCGGAAUUACUGGGCGUAAAGCGUGCGCAGGCGGUUUUGUAAGCCAGAUGUGAAAUCCCCGGGCUUAACCUGGGAAUGGCAUUUGGGACUGCAAGGCUGGAGUGUGGCAGAGGAGACUGGAAUUCCUGGUGUAGCAGUGAGAUGCGUAGAUAUCAGGAGGAAUACCGAUGGCGAAGGCAGGUCUCUGGGCUGACACUGACGCUCAUGCACGAAAGCGUGGGGAGCAAACAGG
rnacentral:rRNA from 1 species